CAAAAUUCAUCGCUUGGCCAUGGCCCCCGUGCAGAUGGUAAGUGUGGUGUGGGAUAUGCAGCCGCCGCUCGCCUCAAUGGCGAGGUGUCCCACAUUACGGAGCCACGCCAUUGUUCAUGGUCCACUUUCCUCCGCUCUUCGUCCGAUUAUAUUCCACUAAAUAAGCAAGAAGUGAAAUGAGAAUUCACUUCGAGUUAUAAUAUUCCAGAAGUACACAUCUCCAGAUAUUUACAUCGUAGAGGCACACAUAUUUGAGAUGAGACACCAAAUUCCAUAAAGAAAAUAAGGUCUUGUUACCCUUAGAGCUCACUAUACAGAUCAUAAAACUGUAAACUACCCCAAUUUCUCUGCUGCAAUGUGCACAAAAUAUUCAGUUCAGAACUGACAGAUUCCAAUUGUGUCAUGUCCUAGUUCUGGCAACUCUCCUUUUCUUUUCUUCAUUGCCACAACACAUGGCAUUUAUCUUAAUCAUACGAGCACACAUAUCAGUUGUAGAACCAAUGUGUACACAUAUCAGUUUGCCAUGUGAUCUUCUCCACCGGAACCUGAAUGCAUACUUCUCACUGGUGUCUGGUAGCUCUGAACAAACUACACUUUCUCAUCAGAACUCGAAUGUAUACUUCACUCUAAAUUCAGAAAGAUGUACUCAUACCAGAUUAUCAAACACCACGCAUGCAUCAAUCGAGACCACACAUGCACCCAUCAAUUACAUGAGCUAUUCAACUAAUUCUGAAAACUGCACAACUUAAGCGACAGUAUGAGGGAGCAGAAACAAACUUACAACUGUAGAACGGCCGGCUCAUUCCUGAUACAUUUAUGCGCGUGGCCAGCGGAUGCCCGGCUGGAACCUGCCUGGGCAGCCUGGAUCGGGAAGAUGGCUGGUUCUGCUACAGCAGCCACCUGCCGCCGCCGUGCCC
rnacentral:lncRNA from 1 species